rnacentral:rRNA from 1 species
GAGUUUGAUCCUGGCUCAGAUUGAACGCUGGCGGCAUGCCUUACACAUGCAAGUCGAACGGCAGCACGGGGGCGACCCUGGUGGCGAGUGGCGGACGGGUGAGUAAAGCAUCGGAACGUGCCCUGGAAUGGGGGAUAACGUAGCGAAAGUUACGCUAAUACCGCAUAUUCUGUGAGCAGGAAAGCAGGGGAUCGCAAGACCUUGCGUUCUGGGAUCGGCCGAUGUCGGAUUAGCUAGUUGGUGGGGUAAAGGCCUACCAAGGCGACGAUCCGUAGCGGGUCUGAGAGGAUGAUCCGCCACACUGGGACUGAGACACGGCCCAGACUCCUACGGGAGGCAGCAGUGGGGAAUUUUGGACAAUGGGCGCAAGCCUGAUCCAGCCAUGCCGCGUGAGUGAAGAAGGCCUUCGGGUUGUAAAGCUCUUUCGGUGGGGAAGAAAUUGCAUGGGUUAAUACCCUGUGUAGAUGACGGUACCUGGAGAAGAAGCACCGGCUAACUACGUGCCAGCAGCCGCGGUAAUCCC